GCGGAGGAAAAGAAACCAACAGGGAUUGCCCUAGUAACGGCGAGUGAAGCGGCAACAGCUCAAAUUUGAAAUCUGGCUCCUUUGGGGUCCGAGUUGUAAUUUGCAGAGGGAGCUUUUGGCGUCGGUCGUGGUCUAAGUUCCUUGGAACAGGACGUCACAGAGGGUGAGAAUCCCGUACGUGGCCGCCGGCCUUCGCCUUGUAAAGCCCCUUCGACGAGUCGAGUUGUUUGGGAAUGCAGCUCUAAAUGGGAGGUAAAUUUCUUCUAAAGCUAAAUACCCGCCAGAGACCGAUAGCGCACAAGUAGAGUGAUCGAAAGAUGAAAAGCACUUUGGAAAGAGAGUGAAAAAGCACGUGAAAUUGUUGAAAGGGAAGCGCUUGCGGCCAGACGUGCCCGCGGUUGAUCAUCCAGGCUCCAGCCUGGUGCACUCCUCCGCGGGCAGGCCAGCAUCAGUUCGGGCGGUCGGAUAAAGGCCUCUAUCACGUACCACCCCUCGGGGUGGCCUUAUAGGGGAGGCGCAACACGGCCAGCCCGGACUGAGGUUCCGCGCAUCUGCUAGGAUGCUGGCGUAAUGGCAGCAAGCGGCCCGUCUUGAAACACGGACCAAGGAGUCUAACAUCUAUGCGAGUGUUUGGGUGUCAAGCCCGAGCGCGCAAUGAAAGUGAACGGAGGUGGGAACCCUUACCGGUGCACCAUCGACCGAUCCUGAUGUCUUCGGAUGGAUUUGAGUAAGAGCAUAGCUGUUGGGACCCGAAAGAUGGUGAACUAUGCCUGAAUAGGGUGAAGCCAGAGGAAACUCUGGUGGAGGCUCGCAGCGGUUCUGACGUGCAAAUCGAUCGUCAAAUUUGGGCAUA
rnacentral:rRNA from 1 species